rnacentral:rRNA from 1 species
UACGUAGGGUGCGAGCGUUAAUCGGAAUUACUGGGCGUAAAGCGUGCGCAGGCGGUUCGUUGUGUCGGCGGUGAAAGCCCCGGGCUCAACCUGGGAAUGGCCGUUGAAACUGGCGAACUGGAGUGUGGCAGAGGGGGGUGGAAUUCCGCGUGUAGCAGUGAAAUGCGUAGAGAUGCGGAGGAACACCGAUGGCGAAGGCAGCCCCCUGGGCUGACACUGACGCCUCAGGCACGAAAGCGUGGGGGAGCAAACAGG